AUGGAACCCGGGCCGCACGCGUGCCAGGCGAGCGCGCUACCGCUUGAGCCACAUCCCCAGCCCAAGAUUGAAUUUUAAAAGACACGAAGAUCGCGAGUGGUCAUCGCAGGAUGAGGGGAGAGGAAGAAGGAGGAGGCCUAGGAGAGCGAGGAGCUGUUCCUGGUGCAUGAGCCACACAGCAGCACAAGCGUUUCUCCUGGAGGGUGCCAAGGAACAGAGCCCUGAGGCACAUGGAGGUUGCUUCCCACCCGCUUAUAAGGGGGACAGGCCAAUCUAGACUCCAACUGUUUCCCAGGAACUCCGUGCCUCUCAGAGGCAGGCACCUUUCCCACUUGGUUCUUAGGCCAGCUGGGCAAAGGUGAGCACGGAUGGCAGAGGCACUGCGUUAGGCGUGACACUGUGGCCUUAGGCUGGGGGAGAAGCCAUGCUCAGAAGGGGUCCUAAGGUCCUGGCAGGCAGGUGUGGUGAAGCAGGAAGAUGUUCUCCACCUGGUGUCUUGGGCACCUUCUGGGACCCUCGUCUCCCAGGCCAGUGAGCCAGUUAGCCAGUCUCGGCUCCUAGAAGGGUUGUAGGAUCAGGGGGUCCACCUGGCCUUCCUGUCCUGGGAAAGGGAGGGGCAGGCCAGUCUGAGGCCUCCCCUCCAGGGCAGCAGAUUUGCCUAGACGAGUGGGCACUCGACAGGGAACUGAAGACAGACCCAGGUGGAAGUGGCCACUAGGCCCUGGCUUCGCCCACACAACAUGGCCUCCCUGAGGAUGGGACCAGGUGGCACCCCCACAGGCCAAAUGGUCAUGGUGUGACACAGGGUAAGUCAGGGACGGGGUAUGCAUCUGCUGUCCCCUCCACUCAUUGCUCCACUGGCCUUUGGGGCACUACUGGUGAACCCCAGGCCCCAGUGACCUUUUCCCCCUGUGGCCUUGACAAGGGCUGGGAACCUCCGGCCUGGCGUCCUGUGUCCUGCCAAGAGGAUGUCCUGUCCACAGCCUCUGUCUCCCGCCUGCCUUAUUCCUCCCAGGAGCCGCCCUGGGGCCUCCAGGGGCAGAGGUGGACAUUGUGGGGAGGGGAAGGGGAACCAGGGCAUCCUGAGCUCUGUCCCUCCCAGCUCUUCCCCCUGGACUUGGUGAAGUGGAAAAUCCCCCGCCCAGUCACUGGGCAUCCCCUGGGCAGACCAGCUCCCCCUGGGUUGGAGGCAGCUGCUCCUCAGAACAAAGGCUGUGGGAGGCAGGGAGAUAGGAGCAGGGAAAGGCAGGCUGACCCUUCCUUCCAGCCCCUGACCUCUCUUGGGGCUUCCUGCCUGGAGUGUGUGGGGGCUGAGUGGGGAGGGGCGGCGGGAGAGGCCAAAGGCUCAGGUCAGGUUCCUGCCUCAAGCCUGCCUCUCGUGGGGAGUGAGCAGAGAGCCUCGUGGAAGGUCUGAGACUCCUGGAGCCAGGCCCCCAUGGGCUGCAGGGAACUGGGCUGGUACUAGGAAGGGCCAGAGCAGCCUGAGUACCUCACCUUCAGUCUGCUCCUCCUCACCCCAACAGCUUGUGUGUGUGUGUGUGCCUGUGUGUGCCUCCAGGUGGGUGUGCCUAGGAGUCUGGGUGGUCUGAGUAUCUCUGUGUGACACGCGUGAGUUCCUGGGUGGGAAGGGGGUCGGUGUGAAAGCCUGGGUGCAUCGGCAGGUGUGUGUGCUUGACCUGUGUCUCAGGCAUGUCUGAAUCUCAGACAGGGUGGCAAACGCAGUGCCAUUUUUCCCCUAAGGUCAAGAAUGACCAGUGUACCUGACAUGGUGGCACACACCUGAUUUCUCAGCAGCUUCAGAGGCUGAGGCAGGAGGAUCAUGAGUUCAAAGCCAGCCUCACCAAAGUGAGG
rnacentral:lncRNA from 1 species